rnacentral:rRNA from 1 species
CCUACGGGAGGCAGCAGUGAGGAAUAUUGGUCAAUGGGCGCAAGCCUGAACCAGCCAAGUCGCGUGAGGGAUGACGGUCCUAUGGAUUGUAAACCUCUUUUAUCGGGGAGCAAGGCCCGCCACGUGGGGCGGGAAGGAGAGUACCCGAAGAAAAAGCAGCGGCUAACUCCGUGCCAGCAGCCGCGGUAAUACGGAGGAUGAGAGCGUUAUCCGGAUUUAUUGGGUUUAAAGGGUGCGUAGGCGGAAGGUUAAGUCAGCGGUCAAAUGUCGGGGCUCAACACCGGCCUGCCGUUGAAACUGGUCUUCUUGAGUGAGCGAGAAGUAUGCGGAAUGCGUGGUGUAGCGGUGA